GAUGAACGCUAGCGGCAGGCUUAACACAUGCAAGUCGAGGGGUAUAGUUCUUCGGAACUAGAGACCGGCGCACGGGUGCGUAACGCGUAUGCAAUCUACCUUUUACAGAGGGAUAGCCCAGAGAAAUUUGGAUUAAUACCUCAUAGUAUAUAGCCCUGGCAUCAGGAUUAUAUUAAAGUCACAACGGUAAAAGAUGAGCA
rnacentral:rRNA from 1 species